UGAAUAUUAAUGGGUCUAAAUUUAUUAAGUAAAUAAAAUAAUCUAGUAACAAAUUUAAUAGACUGAAUAAAAUAAUCUAAUUUCAUACUAGCAUUUAACAAAACUGUAGUUCUAAACCCAGUUUUCAACAAAGUAUGGUUCAUCGCAUUUCACCGAUAACGGAAUCAAAGAACAAAGAGAAUCCCUUUUUGAAGUCUUCUCAAAGAGAAUCCAAACCCAGUUUCACCACAUUUCACCGAAACCCUUUUUACCACCGCGCAGUGACGAAAACGAAGCUGGUGGCCUAGUGGCGCCUUUUCCAGCCAUUGGCGCUUCGUUCUUGCUAUCUUUGGCAUCGACGAGGGUGGCGGAGGAGUAGAAGGCGACGCCAGUGGAGGUAACGGUUGUGAAACCGGAGGAGGUGAAGAAGAUUGAGGAGGAAGUGAUAACUUCGAGGAUUUACGAUGCGACGCGAUUGGUGAACCGUUGGCGUUUGGGAAAGAGAAAGGGAAAAUGUGGGAGAAGUUGAUGAAUGCUAGGGUUGUUUAUUUGGGGGAAGCUGAACAGGAUCCGGUUCGAGAUGAUAAGGAUUUGGAGCUUAAGAUUGUCAAGAAUUUGCAUAAGCGUUGUGUUGAGAUGAUAAGCGUUUAUCUUUGGCUAUUGAAGCUUUUCCCUCUGAUCUUCAGGAACCACUCAAUCAGUAUAUUGAUAAAAAUGGAAUUCGUCUUGUUACUUGUGGUACUCCACUGGAGAUAUUAAUUAAGGACUGUCCAAGCAGAAGGAGUUAGUGGGCUAACAAAGGCUGAACGUAAUUUAUACGCACCUCCUGCUGGUUCAGGCUUCAUAUCUAUCUGCACAGGUUAGAGUAGUUGACGAGUAUACUAUGUCCCGGACCCUGUAGCAGAAAAUGCUUUGACCGGGUUGAGAUUGCUCGGGUUAUGAAUGCUGCCAGACAGAGGCGGGAUGCCCUCCCACAGGUUAGCCAACCACUACAUCCACUGAUUAGCUUAACUGCUACUUUUCUUGCUUUGCUGAUUUCCCCUUCCAAAUUUUAUCCCUUUAUUUUCUCUCAUUGCCUAUUAGGCCUAGUUCUAGUCCAUAAUAUAGUCCUGUCAUUGGGCCUAGUUCCAGUCCAUAUUAUAGUCCUGUCAUUGGGCCUAGUUCUGUUGAUUGUAGGGCUUUGAAUAAAACAAUGAUUCGUUUUAUUACAUCUGUAUUCAAUGUACAACUCCAGAAAUCAUAAGUGGUUUAGAGUAUGAAUGGAUAUUAGCUGGCUUAUAUGAUCGUAAGUGACUUCUAUUCAAGUCUAUUUUAGUAGAUUUAUUAGUUAAGUAAUCCUUAAUGAUAUAUAUUAGACUCUAGUCAAUUUUAUUAGAUAGAUAUGGAUAUAUGUUUGAGAUUUGUAAUUUGCUAUCAUACUAAUAUGCAUACAUUUUUAAUGGGAGUUAGACUGGAUGGAUGAUCAUUUGUUAGAAAUAGAGAAAGAUCAAUGCAAAUUUUAAUUCAUACCAUUAUUUAAGAUUUGGAGUUAAAUAGAAAAUCUUUAAAUAAGAUCCAUGACAUUAUACUAUGACACUAUUUGAUCCAUGCAGUUAACUAUACCUAGUAGAAGAAACUUUGAUUGUUGUUCUUGUUGAGUGUCCAAUUGAUAUUAGUUAAUGAAUAAUAAAUGACAUUUCUUUAAUUAAAAAUCCAUCAUUUAAUACAUUGGUAGCCUAAAAAGUCAGUUUUCGUUUAAUAUUUUCAAGUUUUGAAUCUUUUCACACAUUAGCAUACUAUGAAGAAUCUGUGAUAUGACUCAUACUUGAACUAAAUUUAAGAUUUAAAAUCUCUAGAGUAAAAAGAUACAAGAAGUUCAUGCAACUUGCAGUAUGAAAAAUAUUAACUUGACAGUGCUACUAAUAUUUUAAAAUGCCUCAUACUUCCUUUCUAUUUUUUCAAUUCAGUUGAUUACAUCCUAAUUGUGAACAUCUUGCAGCACAUAGUAAUUUUUGGUGAAACGUUUUAGGUCAUACUUUCUACUAUUAAACUAACUAAUUGCUUUGUUAACUUACGUCAUGUUUUUCCAUAAUUUUUUAUUCUUAGGAUUUGAAAAUAGGUGAUGAAAUCAAUGUCAUAGAUUCUUGUUUUUGUGAUGCUAAAUGGUUCUAUAUGUUGUAUACAUGUUAUAAUACCAAGUAACUGUUUUGGAUGAGUUUUAGUGAGAAAAACGUGUUGAUAAUCGUAUUCUAAAGAGGUUUUGAUAAAUAAAGAUGAAGUUGCGGAAGAUGACAAUGGUGGUGGCAGAGAGCACAUAAUGGAAGAAAUGCAGAUGCUUGUGUUAGAGAAAAGACAGUAUAGUCCAGUGUAGUCAGAAAGGGAUAUGUCUAUUGAAUUUAUGAGCAUCAAUUCCAGCAUUAGAUCCUCCCAAGAACCAUUAUAUCCUCAAAGAGUCUCUCCCAGAGUCCUCAAUCCCCGACAGUCUUCAAAAUAUCGGACAACACUAGUUUAUUAAAUCUCAGCCCCCGAAACUCAGUUUUCUUUAGAUGAGAAUUCACUUUGUUCUUCAGAUUCUGAUGCUGAAAUGAGGAAAAAGACAGAAAUAUAGCAUUGUUGGAACCUCAACAAAUCCAAACCCAUCCCUGAGACAUCUGGAGAAUUAUCUGCAGCCUCACCAGAGAGGUUGUCAAUGGCAUCUCAUGGAAAUGUUCGUGACAUCUGGAGAAUUAUCUGCAGCCUCACCAGAGAGGUUGUCAAUGGCAUCUCAUGGAAAUGUUCGUGGAAAUACAAAACACAUUGUUCUCAACUAUACAGAAAAUGAUGUGUUAGAUGAUGGCUGUUAAGUUUUGAUAACUUUUGAGUUGACUAAUUUGUAAUUGUUGCAGUACAACUCUGAGCCUGAAGCCGUUGACCUUUUAAUGGAGGUAACAUGUUGAGGGCCUUGACAUGUUGAAUGAAUAUAUAGACAAAACAAAUUUACGAAGGUGUUUACUUCUUGCAAUGAUGUGCAUCAAAAGAAGCAAUUCUGUUACAUUAUUGCACGUCAUGUAAGUCCUGGAUUCUGUGCUAGUGCUCUAAAUGUUUCUCUGAGUGAUAAUAGGUGUAUUGUUACACAUCAGUUGUUUAACUGUGGAGUGGAGUUAUGUGCUAGUCUCUCUUUAGCUUUAUGUUGGCAAGUGACAAAGCUACAGGGAAUCAAAGGGACUGAGAAGAAGAAGAUUUCACUAUCAGCUUUAUUGAGACUCUCUUUUGAUGAUUUUUGUGAUGUGUGUGGGGAAUUGCUUUUGUGCUCGACAUAGAAAUGGCUGGAAAUGAAGAUGACAGAGAAAAGUUGCAGGAUAUCUUAUACAAUUCUAAGUUAAGUGAAGGAUAUCUAGCUCUUGCUCGUGAUCUUGAAGUCAUGGAGGCCAAGUCCCCUAUGGAUAUAUACAAGGUUUGACACUGAGAAUAAAUUUAGUCCCGCCUCAAUGAAUCCCGGUACAUGUGUAGUUUUUACAUCUAAUGCCCUAAGAUUAGAAUUGUAAAUAAUUAAAUUAUGGUCCAAUUUGAUGAAAGGGCAUGUAAAUAAAUCAUGCUCUUUUAAUUUGAGGUACAAACAACUAUUAGUUUUGCUGCUUGCAUAUGUUUUCUUUUAAAUCUACGAUUUUUUUUAUUAAUAGUUGUAAGUGAUUGUUGAACAAUUGGUUAUGAUUUUUUAUACAAGUGUUGAACUUGGUGCUCAUAUUUUAAAAGCCAAAAAAUAAUCUGCAAUGCAAGUAUGUGUGAAGUUAUUUUCAGAAAUCAGAAGCUACUAUUUUUAACUGCCAAAAACAUUGCUUAAGCAGCUAUUUUGAAGAUUGGCUUUUCAAACACGAGGAACACGGGAGGACUAGUGCUGUAGCAUGCCUGGGUAUGAUUUCACUCUGGGAUGUUAGGAGAUAGUAUCAUUGAGAAUAUUGUAAAUAGAUUAUGGACUAAGCCAAGGCUAUGACAUCUACAUAGCUAGAUUAUUGAUGUCAAAUAGCCGCUAUCAAACUGGUCAUUUCUUGGCCAACCCACAAGGUGGCCUAGGUCUUCAGUUUGCACAGCUUGGCCGAGAUGUAAAUUUUAUGGACUUUGGCAGUACAUGUUCAACAAGUUAGAGCUUCAUGUACUUAUUUUAGGGAAUGACAAGGCUGGCAAAACGACUUUGCUUGAGAAGAUGAAGUCGGUGUACACGAAUGUAGAAGUUCUUCCUCCGGAUCGAAUUGUGGAAAGCAAUUGCUUCUCCAGGGCGUGGUAUUUUGGCCAUGGAUGAAUCCAAUGCUACAUGUGGAAAGCAGAUGGAUUCAAUUGGAGUAGAGAACACUGAAGCUAACUGUCAAGCAUGGUGUAAAAUUAUAUAUGAAGAAAAUGUUAUGACUUGGUUAAAAUAUAAUUUUUAUGUGUAUGAUUUUUUAGUACUUGAAAUAUUAUGAAUGCACAUGAUUUUGUAUACUUUUUGGUUAAU